AAUUAUUAUGAGAAAAAAAACUAUUAGAUAAUAGUAUAUUAAAUAUUUUUAGUUUUGUAUUUUGCAUGCAUUAUUGGCAUGGAUAUUAGGCUGUGUUAAUUCCAGACUUUCAGUUCUGGUACUCGUAAUUCGUAUUAAUUAAUAAUUGUGUACCUACACGAUCGUGCUUGUAAAUUUUAAUAUUACGUUUGCAUUAAACUCAUAUGUGAUAAUUAUAGUCUUGUGUCGCUGUCGUAAGUUUUAUUUUCAAAGAUUUGUAAAUAUCCUACUUUCGUUGUCAUAAAAUAAAUUCCGUCGAUCAAUAAAAGUAAUAUAACAUCAACAUAAAACUAAUAUUACUACAAAAUCGCCAGCUUUUAUGAAAACAAGGAAACGGUAGUCCGUUUAAAAUUGUACAUAGGAUUGUCGCGUUUUCUGAGACAUGUCUGUCAAGUAUGUGUUGGUGUCUGACGAAGAAUAUGGUGAAGCGGUUGAACUUCCACUUGAAGACAAUGGUACGUUAUUGUUGUCCACAUUAACAGCCCAGUUUCCGGGGGCUAGUGGACUAAAGUUUCGUACUGAAAACAACGUUGUCAGAGGUGUUCGUUUAGCUGACGGCCGAUUCCAUGUGCCUGACAACGAAUGGGGAAAGACGCCUUACUACUGUGUUUUCCCAAAAGUGGAAAAUAAGAGAAAGAUUGAUGAUAGUGUAGAAAAUCCAACAGCUAAAACUAAGAGAUUAGAAACAAAAUUGAAAUGUUCAGAUUUAGUUGUCUUAAAUAUACCAUACACUUAUGAUGAACAAAAAUUGAAAGAAUACUUUGGUCAAUUUGGAGAACUUCUUAUGUUACAGAUAAAGAGAGAUAAAAAUGGACAAUCUCGGGGAUAUGGAUUUUUAAGGUAUACAAACUUAGAAUCACAAGUAAGAGUUCUUUCUCAGCGUCACAAGAUUGAUGGUCGUAAUUGUGAAGUCAAGGUUCCAAAGUCUAAGGAAGGUAAUGGUUCAGAGCUUUCCGGAAAAGUUUUUGUAGGUCGUGUGACAGAAGAUUUAACAGCUGAUGAUAUUCGUGAGUAUUUCAGCAAAUUUGGAGAAGUCAUCAAUGUUUUUGUACCAAAAAAUCCAUUCCGCGGAUUUGCAUUUGUAACUUUCCUUGAUCCUGAGGUAGCUGCUAGUUUAUGUGGUGAAGAUCAUAUCGUUAAAGACGUUUCAGUGCGUGUAUCUGAAGCCGCUCCAAAACCACAAGUUUCUAAAAAUCGUCAUCAAACUCCCCCACCUAGUGAACCUUGGGAGCGAUCUAAUAAUCGCCAUAAUGAUAGUUAUCGAAAUUGGUAUCACUCACAACAUGAUAAUCGGGGGAGUGUAGACAUGCCUAAUCUACAGUCAUUGGGGAUUAAUGGUCAAGACAGCUAUAACCCAAUGUUGCCUUUGAGUCCGGCUAUUGUUGCUGCUGCAUUAACGCAAGCUGCUGGAUGGAGUCUAGCUAAUGGUCGUAUGAUGCCGCCACCACCACCUCCUAGUGGAAACAAUCAAUGGUCUCAACAUGGUCUCAAUUCUCAACGAAAUAACUAUAAUAACAGGAAACGUUCUAAUAAUGAUUACAAUUCAUCAGGCAAUCGCUAAAAAAAGAUAAUGUAUCACUUGAAAAUUUUACCAAAUUUAUCUAACAGUCAAGUUUUAUCGAACAAAUGCAGGUUCAAUGAGAACUGGAAAAUAUGUUCAAGAUUUUAACAAGUUUUUUUUUUACAGGAAAUACUUUUGAAUUGAAAGAAUGGUUGUUACUUAAAAAUCUAUACAUAUAAUGUUUUCUAGAAGGAUAUAUUAUUCAUAGAGCAAUAACAAUAAAUGGUUCCUAGUGACAGACAUGUACAAGGUACUAGCAAACUGAUGUACUUAUUUGGAUUAUGAGCAAGACCAACUGGAUAAUUUUAUGAUACAGAAACAGUACAUAGCUAGAAUGAAAAAUUAAAUGUUUAGAAAGAUAUUAAACUGUAAAAGUAAUAUUUGUAUUUCAAUAUUGUUAGUAAUUGAGAGACAACAAGUAUAUAUUAUAUAAUUGUUUGACUUGUGUAUAAUUUAAAUUAUUUUCUCUAUUGUUUAAUCUAGAAGAUUCUACUGUGAAACUAAAUAUUACUGUAUCAUAUUUGAUGUAAACAGAUUAAGGCACUGUUGAAAUAAAUAAUUGAUUCACAAUAAAUACAUAAAUAAUUCAGUGGCUUACUAGAUAAUAUCUAUAUUGUAUUUAAUAAUUGUUUAUGA